CCUACGGGAGGCAGCAGUGAGGAAUAUUGGUCAAUGGACGAGAGUCUGAACCAGCCAAGUAGCGUGAAGGAUGACUGCCCUAUGGGUUGUAAACUUCUUUUAUAUGGGAAUAAAAUGUUCCACGUGUGGGAUUUUGUAUGUACCAUAUGAAUAAGGAUCGGCUAACUCCGUGCCAGCAGCCGCGGUAAUACGGAGGAUCCGAGCGUUAUCCGGAUUUAUUGGGUUUAAAGGGAGCGUAGGUGGAUGUUUAAGUCCGUUGUGAAAGUUUGCGGCUCAACCGUCACAUUGCAGUUGAAACUGGCAGUCUUGAGUGCAGUAGAGGUGUGCGGAAUUCGUGGUGUAGCGGUGAAAUGCAUAGAUAUCACGAAGAACUCCGAUUGCGAAGGCAGUUCACUGGACUGCAACUGACACUGAGGCUCGAAAGUGUGGGUAUCAAACAGGAUUAGAUACCCCAGUAGUC
rnacentral:rRNA from 1 species